CCGAGCCAAGGACUGGAGCCAGAGAGACACCUGAUGAGUCACUCCAAGAUAAAGGAAGAGUGUGGCAAGAAGUAGAAAGCAGCAAAGAAAUCUCAGCCUGAAUGUCUCAGUCCUGGGCUCCCUGUGUGGUUUGGCCCAUAUUCCUCACAUUCAGACUUCCUUUUCCUUGGGCUCCUGCACAUUUCAGCCAAUGCCAGGGCUCAAAGAAUUUCCUUACUGAUGCUCACACCUCACUCCUGGCAUUGCCCUUCUUUCCCACAAGAAAGAAAGAUCCUCAAAAGAUCCACAAUAUCCUCAAAAUAAAUUAAUCUACAAGGAUUAAUUAAUUUUCACACCUGAAAAAAAAGGUCUUGGAUAUUUUGUGGCUGGAACUGCAGUUGAUGUCAAUGAAUUAACUCUGUUGUGGGACUUCCAGGGUAUCUGUGAAAGGGAGAUGCCAGAAUUGGCCAGGGAUGGUUGUAACAGUCAGAGCUGGUGUGGUAAAUCCUGUCCUGUCUGCCCCUGUGCCAGGGGAUGUUCCACUCUGUCACUGAGACAGGUUAUUUCACUGAUUUUUGUCAUAUGUUUGCACUUAUUGUGCUAUUUUUUCAUCCUCCUAGACAGAUUUAAACUAAUAACAGCAGCUACUUGACAUGUAAUUAAUGCUAAUAACAGCUGAAAUUAUGCAAGCUUGAGUGCUUUGGUCUUUGAAACACAAAUUGUGAUAUUUACACUUUCUCUUUUGGCAAAAACAUGUGCUUCCCUCGCAGACAAAUGGCUUCACAGGUGAUAAAUGUUUGGGAAAAGUGGAUUUAGCAGCAGGCCUUCAGCGUGCAGAGAAAACUCUGACUUUUUGACAGGGGGAUUCCCUGAUCUUUGAGCACAUUGGUGGGGUGUUUAUUCCUGGGAAGCCAGGAAAUAAAUGAAAAUGAAAGUGAGCUGCUUUGGAUUUAUCUGCUGCUUUGGUUUUAUCCACUGCUUUGGAUUUAUCUGCUGCUCAGCUCUCUCUCAGAGAUGUGGGAUUUUCUUUUUCUGCCAUGUUUGUAGUGAAUUUUCAUUUCUGCUACACUGAAAAACUGGGAGUCAGCAAAAAAAUCACCUGCUUUUGCUCUGCCUUGCCAUUUCCAGCCCACUUUCAGAUACCCCUCUAUAUUCUGGCAGCAUAAUUAAUUCUGUGCUCUUGCUCUGUCUCCUUGAUUAAGUUGAUUCCACCACACUUCUGAUGUGCCUGGAUCAGCAUCCUCAGCUGAAAAUCAGGUCUAAGCAGGACUUGAAGAUAAGAUGCUGAUUUUGGAGGUACAAAAGUGGUCAGAAUUAUUUAGAACUGACACUGUUUUCCAGGAUAUGGCAGCUCGUGCAGUAAAUAGAUGGCAAAGAUGCCCAUGCAGAGCUGGCCUGGGUCCAGGGCUGCACAGGACAAUAUUCAGUGUGCCCAAAUGUCACUUUAAAGCAAAGCUGCCAAGCACAAGACAAGGUCUGAUAUUUUUCUUGCAAUGAAUUUUUCACUGUUGCACUGGAGAGACAGCUGCAGUUUGAUCUGGAGAAGGAGCCUGUGGAGGUCUCAGGAUUUAAUUGUGCAAUUUGAGAAAGAAAAAUGCCCAGACCAGGCAGUCUGAGUGUGCUGGGGCAGAUGAUUUCACUGGAGACAUCCUUUUGUGGCAGCCACAGCAGAUGCCCCUGGGGCAGCACUGGCAGGAGGAAUGUUUUUCUCUAGGCAGCUCUGCCAAGGGGUGGAUUUGCUCUCCAAGCUCUGCUCAGCCUCUCCUUUUAAUGUCCUGAAGCAAACACUGAAUUGAGAAGUUUCACCCCAGAGAAAUGAAAGGAAUGACCUGUGUGGGAAAUGAGUUUGUAGAGAAUUUUUAAAGCUUGAUAGAAGGUUCAUAUAGUAUGUAUUUGUAUGUAAAUUUUGAGAUAAGAAAUCUUGAUUUAGAAAUGUUAUAGAAUAGCAUAGACAUUGUUGAGAGAGAAAUGGAAUUAGAAUAAGUUAUAAAAGAUGGGCUUGUAAAUAAGACUACAUACUUGGGAGAAAUAGAACAAUGAAAUAUUUAUUGUAGUUGGACUUAUGAGGAGUAAUUUUAGAUAAUUUGUUUUAAAGUAUUUAUAACAUGGUGUGGUUGAAACUGAUAGGUUAAGAAACACUUAUGUAUUGUAAUUAGGAAAUAGUUUGCUUUUGAUUGUGAUGGCAUGAAUUA